UAAACCCAUCCUUGAGCCUAAUAAUUUCUACUAUGCUCUUUCUCUUGAACCUCCCGAUGAUUCUAUGAAUCUCUCUAGACAUCCCAUGCAUAAGAGCCACCAAGACCACAAGGAGGAUCGAGAAGAGCAACAUCAAUGGCUAGAGGGCAUUAAAAAUCCAUGUGCUAUCACCAUUGAAUGGAUGGACAAGGAAGAAGCCUUAAUGGAUUCUGACUUUGGCUCAAUUUCAAAUGGUGAGUUCUUGACUCCCUUU
rnacentral:lncRNA from 1 species